rnacentral:rRNA from 1 species
UACAGAGGUCUCAAGCGUUGUUCGGAUUCAUUGGGCGUAAAGGGCGCGUAGGCGGCCUGGCAAGUGGAAGGUGAAAUCCCUCGGCUUAACCGAGGAACUGCCCUCCAAACUGCUUGGCUUGAGACCGGGAGAGGUGAGUGGAAUUCCCAGUGUAGCGGUGAAAUGCGUAGAUAUUGGGAGGAACACCAGUGGCGAAGGCGGCUCACUGGACCGGUACUGACGCUGAUGCGCGAAAGCGUGGGGAGCAAACGGGG